ACCGCGGUAGCCUAGUUGGUUAGGGCGUCGGCAGUAGGUACUGAUGAAGAAGGUCGCAGGUUCAAAUCCUGCCUGCGGUG